rnacentral:rRNA from 1 species
GUAUAGGCGAUAGAAAUUCUAUCCUGGCGCUAUAGACACAGUACCGUAAGGGAAAUAAAAAACAUCAAACAAGCACAAAAUAGCAAAGUUUCACCCCUGUACCUUUUGCAUAAUGAAUCAGCUAGAAACAAUCUCGCAAAGAGAACUAAAGCCAGAUUCCCUGAAACCAGAUGAGCUACCCAAAAACAGCUGAAAGAGCACACCCAUCUAUGUAGCAAAAUAGUGGGAAGAUUUAUGGAUAGAGGUGACAAGCCUACCGAGCCUGGUGAUAGCUGGUUAUCCAAGAUAGAAUUUUAGUUCAACCUUAACUUUACCUGCAGAACUACCCAAUCCCCCUGUAACUUAAUUGUUAGUCUAAAGAGGGACAGCUCUUCAGACAUCAGGAAAAAACCUUGUAUAGAGAGUAAAAAAUCUGACCUCCAUAGUUGGCCCAAAAGCAGCCAUCAAUUAAGAAAGCGUUCAAGCUCAACAUCAAUUAUAUAAAAAUUCCAAACACACCACUAAACUCCUUAUUCCACAUUGGAUUAAUCUAUCAUUUCAUAGAAGCAACAAUGCUAAUGUAAGUAACAUGAACAUUUUCUCCGCCGCAUAAGCCUAAAUCAGACUGAAAAACUUCACUGAUACUUAACAGCCUAACACUAACAAACAGAAACAAGUCAGUAUUACUCACACUGUUAACCCGACACAGGCAUGCUUUAAGGAAAGGUUAAAAAAAGUAAAAGGAACUCAGCAAACUUAACCCUGCCUGUUUACCAAAAACAUCACCUCUAGCAUUACCAGUAUUAGAGGCACUGCCUGCCUGGUGACACAUAUUCAACGGCCGUGGUACCCUGACCGUGCAAAGGUAGCAUAAUCACUUGUUCCUUAAAUGGGGACUCACAUGAAUGGCAUCACGAGGGUUCAACUGUCUCUUACUUUCAACCAGUGAAAUUGACCUGUCCAUGAAGAGGCAGACAUGAAACAAUAAGACGAGAAGACCCUAUGGAGCUUUAAUUUAUUAAUGCAAUCAAAAUUAUACAAAUCCACGGACCCUUACACCACCACACCUGCAUUAAAAAUUUUGGUUGGGGUGACCUCGGAGCAUAACUAAACCUCCGAACAGCCUACGCUAAGACUACACAAGCCAAAGCGAACCAGCACCUGUAAUUGACCCAAUGACUUGACCAACGGAACAAGUUACCCUAGGGAUAACAGUGCAAUCCUAUUCCAGAGUCCAUAUUGACAAUAGGGUUUACGACCUCGAUGUUGGAUCAGGACAUCCUAAUGGUGCAGCAGCUAUCAAGCGUUCGUUUGUUCAAUGAUUAAAGUCCUAUGUGAUCUGAGUUCAGACCGGAGCAAUCCAGGUCGGUUUCUAUCUAUUCUAUAUUUCUGCCUGUACGA